rnacentral:rRNA from 1 species
ACGAUGAAGAGUUUGAUCCUGGCUCAGGAUGAACGCUAGCGGCAGGCCUAACACAUGCAAGUCGAGGGGUAACAUGGUAGCUUGCUACCGAUGACGACCGGCGCACGGGUGCGCAACGCGUAUACAAUCUGCCCCCUACUGUGGGAUAGCCCAGAGAAAUUUGGAUUAAUACCACAUGGUACCAUAUUACGGCAUCGUAUUUAUGGUUAAAGGUUACGGUAGGGGAUGAGUAUGCGUCCCAUUAGUUAGUUGGUGAGGUAACGGCUCACCAAGACCGCGAUGGGUAGGGGCCCUGAGAGGGGGAUCCCCCACACUGGUACUGAGACACGGACCAGACUCCUACGGGAGGCAGCAGUGAGGAAUAUUGGACAAUGGGCGGGAGCCUGAUCCAGCCAUGCCGCGUGCAGGAAGAAUGCCCUAUGGGUAGUAAACUGCUUUUAUACGGGAAGAAAAAGGGCUACGUGUAGCC